UGUCCAUGGGAUGCUCCAGGCAAGAAUACUGGAGUGGACUGCCAUUCCUUUCUCCAGAGGAUUUUCCCGACCCAGGGAUCGAACUCAGAUCUCCUGCAUUGCAGGCAGACUCUUUAUCAUUUGAACUACAGGGAAGUCCUUCCCUACCUU